rnacentral:rRNA from 1 species
AGCGAACGCUGGCGGCAGGCCUAACACAUGCAAGUCGAGCGGCCGUAGCAAUACGGCAGCGGCAGACGGGAGAGUAACACGUGGGAACGCGCCCUUCGGUUCGGGAUAACUCAGGGAAACUUGGGCUAAUACCGGAUACGCCCUUACGGGGAAAGAUUUAUUGCCGAAGGAACGGCCCGCGUCCGAUUAGCUUGUUGGUGAGGUAACGGCUCACCAAGGCGACGAUCGGUAGCUGGUCUGAGAGGAUGACCAGCCUCACUGGGACUGAGACACGGCCCAGACUCCUACGGGAGGCAGCAGUGGGGAAUAUUGGACAAUGGGCGCAAGCCUGAUCCAGCCAUGCCGCGUGGGUGAUGAAGGCCCUAGGGUUGUAAAGCCCUUUCAGCGGGGAAGAUAAUGACGGUACCCGCAGAAGAAGCCCCGGCUAACUUCGUGCCAGCAGCCGCCGCAGUAA